GGCCUGGAAGCUCAGUUGGUUAGAGUGUUGGCCUGAUACACCAAGGUUUCAGGUUCAAUCCCUGGUCAGGGCA
rnacentral:tRNA from 1 species